GAUGAACGCUGGCGGCGUGCUUAACACAUGCAAGUCGAGCGAAGCACUCGGCCUUGAAUCUUCGGAGGAAAGGCGGUUUGACUGAGCGGCGGACGGGUGAGUAACGCGUGGGCAACCUGCCCCAUACGGGGGGAUAACAGUUAGAAAUGACUGCUAAUACCGCAUAAGACCGCGGUGCCGCAUGGCACAGCGGUAAAAACUCCGGUGGUAUGGGAUGGGCCCGCGUCUGAUUAGCUAGUUGGCGGGGUAACGGCCCACCAAGGCGACGAUCAGUAGCCGACCUGAGAGGGCGACCGGCCACAUUGGGACUGAGACACGGCCCAA
rnacentral:rRNA from 1 species